UUAUCUUGGCUAGUGAAAAUAAGACCUACUAGUCUUUCUUGGUAUUUACUGAAAAGUGGAUGAGUCCAGGAUCCUGAGACAUAAUUGAGAUCAAUACUACAGUAAGACAACAAGAAGAUGAAGCAGAGAAGAAACAUUACUCAGAUGAGGAAAAAAAAGUACUCUUCACCGAAUAUCAAGUCAAGCAUUUUGGAAAACCAUUUUGGGUGUACCAAUUUGAAGGCCCAC